UGAUUUAUGGUUUCUGAAAAUACUAUAAAGAGACACACUAGAAAGGAUUAGAGUUCCUAGAGAACCUGUCAGGCCAAAGUAGACCUAACUGCUUGUUCUAACCAAACUUUUUGUUGGAUAGUAUGCGAUUAUGCUUAUAAAAUAUAGAGCUACUUUUGCAGGAAAACUUCUCUGAGCCUGUGUUUCUUUAGAUUGCAAUGGACAAGGGCAAAAAGAUUAUGAUCAAUAACAAUGGUGGACAUGCUGGUAGAGGUUGCAACAACAGUGCUAUGACUAGUGAUGCUUUUAAUAAUCAAAGUAAACUGAAAAUUUUGCUGUGUGACAGUGAUCCUGAGAGUUGUGAUGAGAUCUCCACCCUUCUAACCAAAUGCAGUUAUCAGGUAAUCUCAGUGAGCUCAUUUGUAGAAGUGGUUGAUACAUUGGAUGCUGAGGGGCCCCAUAUUGACAUCUUACUCGUUUCAGUUGACCCUCACAUAGACAAAGGCAUGAAAAUGUUGAAGUAUAUCAGUGAAGAAUUCCAACACAUUCCAGUGAUCAUCAGGGUUCUUGUUUUGUUCAGUAUUGUCUAGACAAGACCAUAUCUCUCUUAUUUACAAGUACUUAAAUCUUGGGGUGGCUGACUAUUUGAUGAAGCCUUUAUGCACCGACGAGCUAUCAAAUCUAUGGAAGCACAAGGGGAGGAGCCGGAAUAUGAUGAAAAAGUUACUGGGAAUUACAAAUGCAGAGUCAAGCCAGAUAAUCAGCAAGGGUAGCUGAGUGUUUUGUGCUGAGAAGUUUAGCAUACUCUGAGGGCAUCCUAUAAAUUAAAUGCUUCAGAAAAUUGUGCAUGUACACCCAUUCAUGAAAAUCUUGGGUUCAAUUGGAAGGGUAUAAGUUUGUAGUCUCUGGUUGUAGUCUAAUAUUAUAGCACCUCCUUUUAAAGCUUACAUUUCCCUUUGGAUGUUUUAAGCAUUAUCAUUUGACUUAAUUCGUGAAAUUCCUUUUGACAGCUA